GACGAACGCUGGCGGCGUGCUUAACACAUGCAAGUCGAGCGAUGAAACACCUUCGGGUGCGGAUUAGCGGCGAACGGGUGAGGAACACGUGAGGAAUCUGCCUUCCACUCUGGGAUAACUCCGGGAAACCGGGGCUAAUACCGGAUACUUUCAACUGGCGGCAUCGCCGGUUGAUGAAAGUUUUUCGGGGGAAGAUGACCUCGCGGCCUAUCAGCUUGUUGGUGAGGUAAAGGCUCACCAAGGCGACGACGGGUAGCCGGCCUGGGAGGGCGACCGGCCACACUGGGAAUGAGACGCGGACCAGACUCCUACGGGAGGCAGCAUGGGGGAAUAUUGGGCAAUGGAGGAAACUCUGACCCAGCGACGCGGCGUGAGGGAUGAAGGCCUUCGGGUUGUAAACCUCUUUCAGCAGGGAAGAAGCGAAAGUGAAGGUACCUGCAGAAGAAGCACCGGCUAACUAUGUGCCAGCCGCCGCCGUAA
rnacentral:rRNA from 1 species